GCCAUUCUCCUGCCCCAGCCUCCCCAGUAGCUGGGACUACAGGAGCCCGCCACCACGCCCGGCUAAUUUUUUUUUUUUUUUUUUUUUUUUUUUUUUGUAUUUUUAGUAGAGACGGGGUUUCACCGUGUUAGCCAGGAUGGUCUCGAUCUCCUGACCUCGUGAUCCACCCGCCUCGGCCUCCCAAAGUGCUGGGAUUACAGGCGUGAGCCACCACGCACGGCCAAUUUCAAAGUGUUUUCAAACUACUGCAGCCCUCUCCCAUUGCUGUGGUAACUGGAUGGAAAUGCAUCUAGCAAGAGAAAAUGUACAUAAAGAUUACCUCCCUCCCUCCUCUAGGUUUCUGCAGGUGAGAAGGUGUCGUGAUAGAAUAAUGAACAUUUCCUGUGGGGCUGGCACUGUAUUCUACAUAGAACUCAUUUAAUACAACAACCCUAUAACGAGGAAGCAAGCCAUGUGCAUCAAUUAUCAGGAACGCUUUAAUCCAACUGGGACCCCAAACAAACACCCCGUUUUAAUCCCGGGUGAAGUGAUACAAACAAUUUACAAAGCCUCACGACCCGGCAGCAACCCGAGUCUUACGUGAUCUGGCGAAACUCAUCUGCCUCCUAAGCUCCAACGCCACUGGUUUUCUUUCCAUGUCUCCAGUACUCAGCUCCUUCGGGUCUAUGGCAAUUGUACUUGCUGUUCCCCCUGCCUGGAUUAGUCCUACAGCUUGCCCUGACUGCAUCCUUCUCAUCAUUCAGAUCUCAACGCAAGCAUCACCUCCUUCCUCUGAGGCCUUGGCCUUCAACAUCCCAUUCCCUACCCCACAUCAUUCCAGACUGGAAGCUCUAGAGCUGGCAUUAGAACACUGUCUGGCCCACAAGCCUUCAAUACUUCAACAAAUGCUCGUUGAAUCCAAAAACGCUGAUUACUCUGCAAUCUGCCAGCUCACCCCACUCCCUCUCAAAAUACCUAGGAGAAUUAAUUUAUAAAGAAAACAUAAGCACGCGACAGCGUAACACAUCGACUCAAAACAAAGCCGGUAAUCCGGGGCUGAACUGGUCAACGGCAUUUAAAGAAGGCCCCAAGAAAACCCUUUCCUGAUCGUGCACACACUUUUCAAGAGGCGAAACCAGGGGGACAGGGCGGUCGGCGGCGCAGCGCUGCCUACCUUGAACUCCGCGGAAAGUUGGGGCGUGUAUUCGCGAGUCCAGAGCGCGCGCACCAGCGCCGCCAGCUGCUCGGUGACCUCGGCGCGGCCCGGCGCCGCCUGGUAGCGCCCCAGCGCCAGGAACUCGGCCAGCAGGUCGGUGUUGCUGAGACACUGCACCACCGCGUUCAUGAAACAGGUGUUGCCGUGGUUCUUCAAGCCCUGAGCGCCCGGCGGCCGCGCCCCAUCGCCGGCGGG